rnacentral:rRNA from 1 species
UCGGGAAUUUUGGGCAAUGGGCGAAAGCCUGACCCAGCAACGCCGCGUGAAGGAUGAAGGCCCUAGGGUUGUAAAAUCCUUUCGUCAGGGACGAUAAUGACGGUACCUGAAGAAGAAGCCCCGGCUAACUUCGUGCCAGCAGCCGCGGUAAUACGAAGGGGGCUAGCGUUGUUCGGAAUUACUGGGCGUAAAGCGCGCGUAGGUGGUUUGUUAAGUUGGAUGUGAAAUCCCCGGGCUCAACCUGGGAACUGCAUUCAAAACUGACAAGCUAGAGUAUGGUAGAGGGUGGUGGAAUUUCCUGUGUAGCGGUGAAAUGCGUAGAUAUUGGGAAGAACACCAGUGGCGAAGGCGGCUAACUGGUCCGGUACUGACGCUGAGGUGCGAAAGCGUGGGGAGCAAACAGGAUUAGAUACCCAGGUAGUCCCUGAGCGGGCUGGCAAGGCGCAU